CCUACGGGUGGCAGCAGUGAGGAAUAUUGGUCAAUGGGCGCAAGCCUGAACCAGCCAAGUAGCGUGAGGGAUGACUGCUCUACGGAUUGUAAACUUCUUUUAUAAGGGAAUAAAGUGAGGGACGUGUCCCUUUUUGUAUGUACUUUAUGAAUAAGGAUCGGCUAACUCCGUGCCAGCAGCCGCGGUAAUACGGAGGAUCCGAGCGUUAUCCGGAUUUAUUGGGUUUAAAGGGUGCGUAGGUGGGCUGUUAAGUCAGUGGUGAAAGUUUGUGGCUCAACCGUAAAAUUGCAGUUGAUACUGGGAGUCUUGAGUACAGUUGAGGUAGGCGGAAUUCGUGGUGUAGCGGUGAAAUGCUUAGAUAUCACGCAGAACCCCGAUUGCGAAGGCAGCCUACUAAGCCGUGACUGACACUGAUGCUCGAAAGUGUGGGUAUCAAACAGGAUUAGAUACCCGUGUAGUC
rnacentral:rRNA from 1 species